rnacentral:tRNA from 1 species
GUAGUGGUUAGCACUCCAGACUUUGAAUCUGGCGACCUGGGUUCGAAUCCCGGCGAGACCU